AUACGGAGGGUGCAAGCGUUACUCGGAAUCACUUGGCGUAAAGCGCGCGCAGGCGGCUAUUUAAGUUGGAUGUGAAAGCCUACGGCUCAACCGUAGAACUGCAUCCAAAACUAUUUAGCUAGAGUGUGGGAGAGGAAGAUGGAAUUAGUUGUGUAGGGGUAAAAUCCGUAGAGAUAACUAGGAAUACCAAAAGCGAAGGCAAUCUUCUGGAACACUACUGACGCUGAGGCGCGAAAGCGUGGGGAGCAAACGGGAUUAGAUACCCCUGUAGUCC
rnacentral:rRNA from 1 species